rnacentral:rRNA from 1 species
ACUGAGUGGCGGACGGGUGAGUAACGCGUGGGUAACCUGCCCUGUACAGGGGGACAACAGUUAGAAAUGACUGCUAAUACCGCAUAAGCGCACAGGACCGCAUGGUCCGGUGUGAAAAACUCCGGUGGUACAGGAUGGACCCGCGUCUGAUUAGGUAGUUGGCGGGGUAAUGGCCCACCAAGCCGACGAUCAGUAGCCGACCUGAGAGGGUGACCGGCCACAUUGGGACUGAGACACGGCCCAAACUCCUACGGGAGGCAGCAG